UACGUAGGGUGCAAGCGUUAAUCGGAAUUACUGGGCGUAAAGCGUGCGCAGGCGGUUGUGCAAGACAGAUGUGAAAUCCCCGGGCUCAACCUGGGAAUUGCAUUUGUGACUGCAAGGCUAGAAUCUGGCAGAGGGGGGUAGAAUUCCACGUGUAGCAGUGAAAUGCGUAGAGAUGUGGAGGAACACCGAUGGCGAAGGCAGCCCCCUGGGUCAAGAUUGACGCUCAUGCACGAAAGGCGUGGGGAGCAAACAGG
rnacentral:rRNA from 1 species